CGUCCGUCGUGAAGAGGGAAACAACCCAGACCGCCAGCUAAGGUCCCAAAGUCAUGGUUAAGUGGGAAACGAUGUGGGAAGGCACAGACAGCCAGGAUGUUGGCUUAGAAGCAGCCAUCAUUUAAAGAAAGCGUAAUAGCUCACUGGUCGAGUCGGCCUGCGCGGAAGAUGUAACGGGGCUAAACCAUGCACCGAAGCUGCGGCAGCGACACUAUGUGUUGUUGGGUAGGGGAGCGUUCUGUAAGCCUGCGAAGGUGACCUGUGAGGGUUGCUGGAGGUAUCAGAAGUGCGAAUGCUGACAUAAGUAACGAUAAAGCGGGUGAAAAGCCCGCUCGCCGGAAGACCAAGGGUUCCUGUCCAACGUUAAUCGGGGCAGGGUGAGUCGACCCCUAAGGCGAGGCCGAAAGGCGUAGUCGAUGGGAAACAGGUUAAUAUUCCUGUACUUGGUGUUACUGCGAAGGGGGGACGGAGAAGGCUAUGUUAGCCGGGCGACGGUUGUC
rnacentral:rRNA from 1 species